UAUGUGAUCGUCUCUCGCAUAUCAAUAAGCGGAGGAAAAGAAACUAACAAGGAUUCCCCUAGUAACGGCGAGUGAAGCGGGAAGAGCUCAAAUUUGAAAUCUUAAAGGGUUUCCCUUUACGAAUUGUAGUUUAAAGAAGUGUUUUCUGUUGAGGUUUUGGUAAAAGUUCUUUGGAAUAGGACAUCAUAGAGGGUGAGAAUCCCGUAUUUGACCUUUACUUUCAACUUUGUGAUACACUUUCAAAGAGUCGGAUUGUUUGGGAAUGCAGUCCAAAAUGGGUGGUAAAUUUCAUCUAAAGCCAAAUAUUGGCGAGAGGCCGAUAGCGAACAAGUACCGUGAGGGAAAGAUGAAAAGAACUUUGAAAAGAGAGUUAAACAGUACGUGAAAUUGUCAAAAGGGAAGCGUUUGACACCAGUGUUGUUUUUCUGAAAAUCAAUUAAAGAACUGUCUUAUGCUAAGCUGUUUAGACUUUAUCAGCUAAUCUGUUUAGUUUUGAGCUUUUCUUUAAUGCACUUUUCAGUUAACAAGUCAACAUCAAUUUCUUUUGCUGUAAAAAAGCUUGAGGAAGGUGGCUUGAGAUUCGUCUUAAGUGUUUAUAGCCUCUUGCCUAUGCAGUCGGAGAGAUUGAGGUCUGCAGCGUAGAUCCUUCGGGGCUAAAUGCAUUUGUGCUAAGUUAUAGCAUUUUAUAGACAACUUGUUGACUAUGAUUUGUCUUGUAGCUUACUCGCUUAUGUUAUUUUACCUACGCUUAGGAUGUUGAGUAGCGACAUACGCAC
rnacentral:rRNA from 1 species